rnacentral:rRNA from 1 species
AUGGUUGUGCGGUAGGGCGCGCAUGUAGACGACUGGGUUGAUAGGCCGGAAAUGUAAGCCCGGUAACGGGUUCAGUUGACCGGUACUAAUAGGCCGAGGACUUGACUAC